AGAGAGACAGGAGAGGGAGGGAGAAGAACCAAGAUGGUGGACGAGAAGGACGACCCAGAUCUGUGUGGCUUUAAAUAGCCACAGGAAGAAGAGCUGGAAAGGUGGCUCAGUGGGAUUCUUGCCACCAUGAAGCACGAGGACCUGAGUUUGAUCCCUGAAACCACAAGGUAGAAGAGAGUCAACACUUAAAAUUUGUCCUCUGACCACCACAAGCAUGUGUCGGCACACACAUUUAAUCCCUGCACUCGAGAGGCAGAGGCAGGUAGAUUCCUGUGAGUUUGAGGUCAUCUGGUCUACAUAGAAAGUCCCAGGUCAUCCAGGACUACAUAGUGAGACUUCGUGAAAACAAACAAGCAAAAAACUUAACAGUUGAUCAUAGUAAAAUUAAAUGACACCUACACGGGGACUCGUUAUAUUGCUUUCAACAGUGUCUACCCGACACUAACUGCCUAGCGUUGGGCCAGAUUUCACAGGCUCAAGGUACAGCCUCCACACAAGACCCUCCCGAUGCUUUUUCCCAGCUGUAAGCUCCAGGGUUUCUUGAUCCUUCAUGACUCUGACCAACUGACUGCAGAUUCGUAGGUUCUCACUGUGUCCUCCGACUUGGUGAUGCCCGGAGUGACUCGCAUAACACGGAAAAAUGUCAUACAUACGAGAACCGUUUUACUACAAAAGAUGUGAGAGAGACGACAUGUAGAUACUUUGAGCACAGUUUCAGAGGCGUGUAUAGUCCGAGCUUCCAAGCGUUAAGGAGCUAUCGCCCACUGCUACACUGACAUGCCAUGAUCGGGCCAAGGACUUUGUUCUUGAGCCCAUGUUCAGGGGACACUGGCAUUUCAUUAUGUAGCUUGACUGGUGUAAACAUUGGGACACAUGAGAUUGGACUCAAUCUUCUCCCUGGAAGUCAGAGAUCAGCUCCCAACACAAGACUGAAAGAUGUAACCCUCUAAUCCUGUGGCUGAAAUCCUGAAUUCUCUGGUCUGGCUGGCCAGAUCCAGAGCUAGUACCUGUAGGAUGAUGUCAUUAUGCAUCGAGGAAAGCUCCACUGAGACCAAGUACAAAGGCGACAAGUGUAUUCUGUGACCGCCACCAUCUUUUCAACCCGAGAAGUCUUUCUUCAAAACUGUAGUAUGUGGGCCAGCCUGGUCUAUUUACAGAGUGAAUUCCAGGACAGCGGCACCACACAGAGAAACCCUGUCUUGAAGAAAAAAACAAAAAAUGAAACAAACUAACAACAAAAGAAAAGAAAAAACUUCAAUCUGUAAUAAACUUCCACAUCCUCUUUCAGUUUCUGAGUGACACUCUCUCGGGAUCUCUCCGCCCUAAGUUCUUCAACAGUUUCUACAUUCAGAUUCCAAGGCUUGUGCUCAUACAUAAUGCAUAACAUUUUUAAAAAAUUUAGUAUUAC
ensembl:lncRNA